rnacentral:rRNA from 1 species
UAGGGAAUCUUCGGCAAUGGACGAAAGUCUGACCGAGCAACGCCGCGUGAGUGAAGAAGGUUUUCGGAUCGUAAAACUCUGUUGUUAGAGAAGAACAAGGACGUUAGUAACUGAACGUCCCCUGACGGUAUCUAACCAGAAAGCCACGGCUAACUACGUGCCAGCAGCCGCGGUAAUACGUAGGUGGCAAGCGUUGUCCGGAUUUAUUGGGCGUAAAGCGAGCGCAGGCGGUUUCUUAAGUCUGAUGAAAGCCCCCGGCUCAACCGGGGGGGGUCAUUGGAAACUGGCAGACUUGAGUGCAGAAGAGGAGAGUGGAAUUCCAUGUGUAGCGGUGAAAUGCGUAGAUAUAUGGAGGAACACCAGUGGCGAAGGCGGCUCUCUGGUCUGUAACUGACGCUGGGGCUCGAAAGCGUGGGGAGCAAACAGG